UUUGACUCAAUACGAGUAAACUUACCAGAUUCAGACAUAGUAAGGAUUGAUAGACUGAGAGCUCUUUACUGAUUCUAUGGGUGGUGGUGCAUGGUAAUUCUUAGUGGGUGGAGUGAUUUGUUUGGUUAAUUUUAUUAACGAAUGACCUAUUCUUAAACUUUAAAUAGGUAGGACAGCGCAGCUGCAUUAUUGAGCCGCACCACAGAACAAAGAUCUACAAGUAGUAUCUGAUCAUCUUCGAGCCCCCAAUUUUCAUUCUUGAUUAAUAAACACAUCCUUGGCAAAUUCAUCCACAGUUGUUCAUCUUUCAUAAAUCCCAGAAUUUCACCUUUGACUAUGAAAUACGAAUGCCCCCAACUAUCCCGU
rnacentral:ncRNA from 1 species